UGCGUAGGCGGGCAGGUAAGUCCGUGGUGAAAUCUCCGGGCUUAACCCGGAAACUGCCAUGGAUACUAUUUGUCUUGAAUACUGUGGAGGUGAGCGGAAUAUGUCAUGUAGCGGUGAAAUGCUUAGAUAUGACAUAGAACACCAAUUGCGAAGGCAGCUCACUGCGCAGUGAUUGACGCUGAGGCACGAAAGCGUGGGGAUCAAACAGGAUUAGAUACCCUGGUAGUCCACGCCCUAAACGAUGGAUACUCGACAUACGCGAUAUGACAGCGUGUGUCUGAGCGAAAGCAUUAAGUAUCCCACCUGGGAAGUACGACCGCAAGGUUGAA
rnacentral:rRNA from 1 species